rnacentral:pre_miRNA from 1 species
UCCUUCAUUCCACCGGAGUCUGUCUCAUAUCUAAUCAGAUUUCAGUGGAGUGAAGCUUA